rnacentral:rRNA from 1 species
GAAUUCAUCUCCGGGGGUAGAGCACUGUUUCGGCUAGGGGGCCAUCCCGGCUUACCAACCCGAUGCAAACUGCGAAUACCGGAGAAUGUUAUCACGGGAGACACACGGCGGGUGCUAACGUCCGUCGUGAAGAGGGAAACAACCCAGACCGCCAGCUAAGGUCCCAAAGUCAUGGUUAAGUGGGAAACGAUGUGGGAAGGCCCAGACAGCCAGGAUGUUGGCUUAGAAGCAGCCAUCAUUUAAAGAAAGCGUAAUAGCUCACUGGUCGAGUCGGCCUGCGCGGAAGAUGUAACGGGGCUAAACCAUGCACCGAAGCUGCGGCAGCGACACUGUGUGUUGUUGGGUAGGGGAGCGUUCUGUAAGCCUGUGAAGGUGUGUCGUGAGGCAUGCUGGAGGUAUCAGAAGUGCGAAUGCUGACAUAAGUAACGAUAAAGCGGGUGAAAAGCCCGCUCGCCGGAAGACCAAGGGUUCCUGUCCAACGUUAAUCGGGGCAGGGUGAGUCGACCCCUAAGGCGAGGCCGAAAGGCGUAGUCGAUGGGAAACAGGUUAAUAUUCCUGUACUUGGUGUUACUGCGAAGGGGGGACGGAGAAGGCUAUGUUGGCCGGGCGACGGUUGUCCCGGUUUAAGCGUGUAGGCUGGUUUUCCAGGCAAAUCCGGAAAAUCAAGGCUGAGGCGUGAUGACGAGGCACUACGGUGCUGAAGCAACAAAUGCCCUGCUUCCAGGAAAAGCCUCUAAGCAUCAGGUAACAUCAAAUCGUACCCCAAACCGACACAGGUGGUCAGGUAGAGAAUACCAAGGCGCUUGAGAGAACUCGGGUGAAGGAACUAGGCAAAAUGGUGCCGUAACUUCGGGAGAAGGCACGCUGACACGUAGGUGAAGUGAUUUACUCA